AAGAAAUGAAUUUGGAGAACCAAGUUGCUGCUAUAAUUAUUACUACGUCAACAACACAUGCAAAGAGUGUCCAGCAGGAUAUUGGGGACACAACUGCUCUGAUAAAUGUUCAGACAAGUGGUUUGGACGUCUAUGUAGUUUAGAAUGCUUAUGCCCCUCGACAGACUGCAAUCAUGGUAGUGGUUGUAUUCAAACAACAGAUCAUUCAAGAAAUAGAGGGUAUAGUCUAUCCAAGCAUUCCCCGAAUUGGACGAUUUCCUACAUUCUAAAAAUUACUACACCAGAAACAUUAGAAAACUAUCAUUACUCUUAUAGAGGUGUUAUAAUUUCAAUCGGAACAUUGAUUUCAAUAUAUAUUUUCCUGAUCAUUAUCUAUGAAAUUUACAAAAAUCUGAAAAACGAAUUUUUGAAAAGGCAACAUCA